rnacentral:rRNA from 1 species
AAAUUGAAGAGUUUGAUCAUGGCUCAGAUUGAACGCUGGCGGCAGGCCUAACACAUGCAAGUCGAACGGUAACAGAAAGCAGCUUGCUGCUUUGCUGACGAGUGGCGGACGGGUGAGUAAUGUCUGGGAAACUGCCUGAUGGAGGGGGAUAACUACUGGAAACGGUAGCUAAUACCGCAUAACGUCGCAAGACCAAAGAGGGGGACCUUCGGGCCUCUUGCCAUCGGAUGUGCCCAGAUGGGAUUAGCUAGUAGGUGGGGUAACGGCUCACCUAGGCGACGAUCCCUAGCUGGUCUGAGAGGAUGACCAGCCACACUGGAACUGAGACACGGUCCAGACUCCUACGGGAGGCAGCAGUGGGGAAUAUUGCACAAUGGGCGCAAGCCUGAUGCAGCCAUGCCGCGUGUAUGAAGAAGGCCUUCGGGUUGUAAAGUACUUUCAGCGGGGAGGAAGGGAGUAAAGUUAAUACCUUUGCUCAUUGACGUUACCCGCAGAAGAAGCACCGGCUAACUCCGUGCCAGCAGCCGCGGUAAUACGGAGGGUGCAAGCGUUAAUCGGAAUUACUGGGCGUAAAGCGCACGCAGGCGGUUUGU